rnacentral:rRNA from 1 species
UUGACCUUCGGAUCAAGUAGGGAUACCCCGCUGAACUUAAGCAUAUC